GUAGAAAUAAUAAUUCUUAAAAAAACUAAAAGGACGCGGUAACCUUGACCGUGAUAAUGUAGCAUAAUCACUCGCCAUUUAAUUGAUGGAUAGUAUGAAUGGUUGAACGAAUAUUCCCCUGUCUUAGACAAAAUAAUAAAAAAUUGAAAUAAUAGUUAAGAUGCUAUUUUUUACUGUAAGACGAAAAGACCCUAUAGAGCUUAACUAUAACCUUUUUAUAUAAAAAGAAAAUAAAUUCUAUACUUAAAAAGGUUGGUAGUUUAGUUGGGGCGACUGUCUUCUAUAUUGAACGAAGACAAGCAAUGUUAAUAAAAAACUUAUUGUAUAACAAAAAUGUUUAACAAUUAUAAAAAUAGGCUAUAAUGACCCGUUAAUACUUAAUAAAAAGAAUAACGAUUAAUUAAUAAAAGCUACCUUAGGGAUAACAGGAUUAUUUCAUUUCAGAGUUCAUAUCGAAAAUGAAGUUUGUCACCUCUAUGUUGAAUUAAGAUAUCCUGAUAAUGCAGAAGUUAUCAAA
rnacentral:rRNA from 1 species